rnacentral:pre_miRNA from 1 species
AUAGGAAUCACCUGGAGAUCUUGUUAAAAUGCAGAUUCUGAUUCAGAAAGUCCAGGGCAGGCCCAGGAUUCCGCAUUUUCACAGGCUCUCGGGUGAUACUGCU